ACGGAUGCGACCUGCCCCCCGCAGGGGGAUAACCGGGAGAAAUCCCGACUAAUACCGCGUAACGCCGCGGGGCUGCAUGGCCCCGCGGCCAAAGGAAGCGAUUCCGGCGGGGGAUGGGCAUGCGGCGCAUUAGCUAGUCGGCGGGGUAACGGCCCACCGAGGCGACGAUGCGUAGGGGUUCUGAGAGGAAGGUCCCCCACACUGGUACUGAGACACGGACCAGACUCCUACGGGAGGCAGCAGUGAGGAAUAUUGGUCAAUGGGCGGGAGCCUGAACCAGCCAAGUCGCGUGAGGGAAGACGGUCCUACGGAUUGUAAACCUCUUUUGCCGGGGAGCAACGGGGUCCUUGCGAGGGCCCAAUGAGAGUACCCGGAGAAAAAGCAUCGGCUAACUCCGUGCCAGCAGCCGCGGUAAUACGGAGGAUGCGAGCGUUAUCCGGAUUUAUUGGGUUUAAAGGGUGCGUAGGCGGGCUGUUAAGUCAGCGGUCAAAUGUCGGGGCUCAACCCCGGCCUGCCGUUGAAACUGGCGGCCUCGAGUGGGCGAGAAGUAUGCGGAAUGCGUGGUGUAGCGGUGAAAUGCAUAGAUAUCACGCAGAACUCCGAUUGCGAAGGCAGCAUGCCGGCGCCCGACUGACGCUGAGGCACGAAAGCGUGGGUAUCGAACAGGAUUAGAUACCCUGGUAGUCCACGCAGUAAACGAUGAAUGCUAGCUGUC
rnacentral:rRNA from 1 species